rnacentral:rRNA from 1 species
AUUGAACGCUGGCGGCAUGCCUUACACGUGCAAGUCGAACGGUAACGCGGGGCAACCUGGCGACGAGUGGCGAACGGGUGAGUAAUAUAUCGGAACGUGCCCAGUAGUGGGGGAUAGCCCGGCGAAAGCCGGAUUAAUACCGCAUGAGACCUGAGGGUGAAAGCGGGGGAUCGCAAGACCUCGCGCUAUUGGAGCGGCCGAUAUCAGAUUAGGUAGUUGGUGGGGUAAAGGCCUACCAAGCCGACGAUCUGUAGCUGGUCUGAGAGGACGACCAGCCACACUGGGACUGAGACACGGCCCAGACUCCUACGGGAGGCAGCAGUGGGGAAUUUUGGGCAAUGGGCGCAAGCCUGAUCCAGCCAUGCCGCGUGCGGGAAGAAGGCCUCGGUUGUAA